rnacentral:tRNA from 1 species
GCGCCCAUAGCUCAACUGGAUAGAGCGACAGACUACGGAUCUGUAGGCUGGGGGUUCAAAUCCUCCUGGGCGCG